ACAAUAUGACUUCGGUUGAUAGAUCUGAUUAAAAUUACUAAAAAGACCCAUUCCAAUACUUGUCUAUACACCCAAGCCCCCAAAGCUCCAUCUCUCCCAAAAAUCUACUCCUCUCUUUGCCUGGCUCUACCGCCUUAAUAUUUUCCUCCCUAAAACCUGCAGUCUCUCAACGCCCCCUUACCAACAUACAAUUCUCAAUGCACAACUCUCCCGCUUUCUCUCCUCCUUCGAUGUGCUAGCGUUUCAAUCGCCGGAACCCUAACCGGCUAUUCGCUGCCGGCGAAUUCUCCGGCGAGUCUCAUUUGAGCUGUUUCUUUUAGGGUUUAUCUAUUGGAUUCGAUUCUACAAUUCGAUUGAUUCUGAUUCUUCUUCUUGAAUUUUAGGGUCUCUCUAUUUGUAUUCCCCUCUCUCCCUUUUUGCGUGCUUGUGUAAUCAACAGCAGUAAAGCAUAUGGCACCUGGGCGUAAAAAAGGAGCGAACAAGGCAAAGACGAAGAGUCAAUUGAGUUUGGGCGAUCUCGUUCUUGCCAAAGUAAAGGGCUUCCCUCCUUGGCCUGCCAAGAUAAGCCGCCCUGAAGAUUGGGAGCGAGCCCCUGACCCUAAGAAAUACUUUGUCCAGUUUUUUGGAACUGAAGAAAUAGCCUUUGUUGCUCCUGGUGAUAUUCAGGUAUUUACAAGUGAAUUAAUGAAUAAAUUGUCAGCUCGAUGUCAAGGUAAGACUAAGUAUUUUGCCCAAGCUGUGAAGGAAAUCUCUGCAGCAUUUCAAGAGUUACAGAAGGGAAAGUCAAGUGGUUUAUUAGGUACUGAUAGAUCAACACUAGGCUUUGAUGCUGCGUCUACUGAUGGGAUAGAAGAUGAGAUGGAGCUUGAAUUAAAUGAUGGCAUGGGUACAAGUGUCUUCAAAAGAGAAACAUGGGAUCAGGAAGGUGAUUUUAGUUCUAAGUUGAAGCAUUGUUCACAUAGACUAGGCCAGACUGAAUAUGAAGAUGUAAAGCCUACUAUUUCAGCUGAUGUGAAUGAUAAUUCAUCCCUGGCUAUGUCUUCGGAGAAGAAAGUUAAAAUAUCACAUGGUGAACAGAUGCAGGUCGUAUUAUCUAAAUCUUGUUUGGAUGAUCCUUCAUAUGUAAAGGAUGGAGAGUCCGGUGAUGUAAAUGAGGAUGUUAGUUGCACAAAGAACCCUGAAAAUGGUGAUAGAGCAUGGGCCAAUGGUCAUAAGUCCAAGAGUAUGGCUGCUGAAACAAAGAGGAAACCUGAUGUUGCUGUUGAGGGGCAUAUCCUCCCUGAAAAUGGUAAAAAAGUGAAAGAUAAAAUUGCAACUGGUGGCACCAUGAGGGGGUUUUCCCCUGAUGCUCUUAAAUCAGAUUCUGAAGCUGUUAAAUCAGAUUCUGAAAUCAGAACUGGGAAAAAGGCAAAAGAACUUCAAAAAGACAAAAAGGGUUUAAUGGUACCUGAUAGUAUGCAUGAAAACGUAUUGAAUUCCAUUGGUGAGAUCUCUGACAAGAAAAAGAGGGCCCAAUCUGGGCUUGGAAAAGCAAGUGAAGCUUUACAUCCUGCAACAAAGCCAAAGCGUGUAGAUGUGGGGGAUGAUACUGCUAAGGAAUCUAUCACAGAAAACAUGAAGAGUGAUUCUUCAAGUUCUAAUGCAGUCAAACAGUCCACAUCACAUGAAAAAAGAGAAAUCCUUUUGGCAUUAAGAGCCCAAACAGGAAAAGGGAAAUUUGUUGGUUCUGCUCAAACGGCAAAAAAUAAAUCUGAUAUUUCUUCCCAAACGGGCAAAGUUAAAUCUUAUGUCUCCAUAAAAAUGUGUGAAGCUAAAUCUGAUGCUCCAGCACCAGCUGGAAAAGUUAAAUCUAAUGCAUCUGCCCAAAUGGGUAAUGCUAAAUCUGAUAUUUCUGCUCAAACAGGAAAAGUUAGAUCUGAUGUUUCCAGUGAUGAAGCUGUGCUGCCUGUAUCAAAACGUCGCAGGCGGGCAAUGGAGGCAAUGUCUGACUCUGUGUCCCUUAAUUCCAAUGAUAAGACUGAAAAAGGUCCUGUGGAGCUGAAGAAUGACUCUGCUUCUAAUAAUACUAGAGUUCCAGUUAAUCAACUGCCCAAAAGACGGAGAGCUGUUUGCCUCUACGAUGAUGAUGAUGAAGGGGAAGGGCCUAAAACUCCAAUUUAUGGAGGAUCCACCAGAAGUGUUAGAGCACCUCUAGCUGUUUUUGAUACUUCUACAGGAACGGACUCACAUUUUGGGGGUUCUGUUAAUAAUCAGCUGGGAAGGUCUAUUAAUGUUCAGCCAAGUGUUGAAGAUUCUUCCAGAUUGAAGCAUAGCAGUUCAAGGGAAUUAUCCUCACAGUUGCAUGAUGAAUCUCUUUCACCUAGCCGACCAAAAAGUGUGAAGAGGCCUGAUAGUCGUGACUUUGUUAGUCCUGGUAAAUUAGCAGGAGAGCACUUAUUGUCCAAGGAUGCCAAAUUAAUGUUGAGUUCCCCCAAGAGGUCUCCUCAUUCGCUUCCCGUCACCAGACCAGCUGUGGAACAACAUAAAGCCUCAAAACCUUUAGUUAAAUCUUCCAAUGGCAGUACUCCGAAAAAAGCCCAGUCUGGGUCUGCUAAGGUUAUGGGUCUGGUUUCUGAUAGUUUGAAUACUUCUCAGAAUCAUUUACUGAGCCAAAGAAAUAGAUCAGGUGUAUCUGGAGAAAGACCCAAAAAUACUCCAAAAGCACGGAUGGGUGACCAUGCUGUUUUAAUGGAACCAUCAACAGAACAAGCAUGGGUUACAGAAGAUAGAGACAUUUCAUUGGUUGAUUCCAAGACUCCAGAUUCUGUUAUGUCCAUGAAACACCUUAUUGCAGCUGCUCAAGCUAAAAGGAAAGAAGCUCACUCACAAGCUCACUCGCAACAUUUCUCUCUUGGAAACCCUAAUUCUUUUAUGUCCAUCAAUGAUCCUCAGGGAAGAAGUCCCAGUCCCUCAUCACUCCAACCAUUUUUAUCUGGCUCCAGCACUGUGUUACAGAAUGAUCUACAGAGCUUUCAACAUCGCACAAAUGUACUUUCUCCAUCAACUCAUGGUCAUCAAUCAGCAUCACACAACCAAGUAGAAGCUGAAGAAAUUGACGAGCAAAGAGUUAGUUCUGGACACAAGAUUGUUGGAGGCUCUCUAAGUGGUGGAACUGAGGCUGCUGUAGCUCGUGAUGCUUUUGAGGGGAUGAUAGAGACUUUAUCAAGGACAAAAGAAAGUAUUGGGCGUGCUACUCGGCUUGCCAUUGACUGUGCCAAGUAUGGCAUUGCCAAUGAGGUUGUGGAACUUCUAAUCCGGAAAUUAGAAACUGAGCCCAGUUUCCAUCGUAAAGUGGAUCUCUUUUUUCUUGUUGAUUCAAUCACCCAGUGUUCACAUAAUCAAAAAGGGAUUGCUGGAGCUUCAUAUGUUCCAACAGUUCAAGCAGCAUUACCACGACUUCUGGGUGCUGCUGCUCCUCCGGGACCUGGUGCUCGUGAAAACCGUCGUCAGUGUCUCAAGGUUUUACGUUUGUGGCUUGAGAGGAAAAUUUUUCCUGAUUCCGUUUUGAGGCAUUAUAUGGAUGAUAUUGGAGUUUCAAAUGAUGAUUCCUCUGCUGGAUUUUCCCUUAGACGCCCAUCUCGAGCUGAACGAGCUGUAGAUGAUCCCAUCAGAGAAAUGGAAGGCAUGCUUGUAGAUGAAUAUGGCAGCAAUGCUACAUUUCAGUUGCCUGGCUUUGUAUGUUCUAAUGCAUUUGAAGAUGAAGAUGAGGAAGAUGAUCUUCCUGGCAGUUCAUUGAAGGAAGGUGGCGAUGUGUCAUCACUAGCAGAACCCACCCGUACUUUAGGAGAGUCAGAAACAUGUACUAUGACUCCAAAUGACAGGCGUCAUUGCAUCUUAGAGGAAGUGGAUGGUGAACUUGAAAUGGAAGAUGUGUCUGGACACCAAAAGGAUGAAAGACCGUUGUUCACAAAUUCUUUAGAAGUGGAUGCCCCGCAGCAUUGCUCAGAUGGAGUUCUGGAGCCAGUAGUCGCCAAAUCUGUUGAGCUGCCUCCUCUGCCGGAAAGUUCUCCUCCAUUGCCUCCUGAUUCUCCUCCCUCACCCCCACCUUUACCUCCCUCACCACCACCACCACCACCACCACCACCACCACCACCACCCCCUACAUCUCCUUCACAACCUCCACCUCCACCUCCACCACCUCCACCUCCACCACCUGUUCCAUCACAGCCACCUCCUCCUCCUGUACCAGCUUCAGGCCAUCCACAGUCAUUGGUACCUCAACAGUUAGCACCAAAUCAACCUUCCUUGGCGACUCAACCAAUUCUACCUUCUGUGUCAUCAUUACAGUCCUCACCACAGUUGGCAUAUCCACCAGCUGUAACUCAUGAAUAUUGCAGUACAUCUGGUGGUAAUCAACUUGCUAAAAUGGCUGGAAAUAUUCAUGUGAAUCAUAUGGAUGCUGGCAUAAAAAGUGAAUUGUUUCCACAGCAGUCACCUUGCUUCACACCUACGGCAGUCUGCAGUUCUAGAGAACCUUCAGGAUAUAAUCCUUCAAGGCAAUUGGAUUAUGGACAUAAUGACCUGUAUUUAAAUUCCCAAGCAUCUCAACAUUUUCAAACAGGAAAUGCUCCUUUUGCACAAAGACCUUUACAUCCAACCUUGCCACAAACUCCGUCUGGUCAAUUUUCUUUUGCAAAGCCUGCUAUUCAGCAACAUCCUCAGCAUUCAUUUCCUCGUCCAUACACUAUCCAUUCUUAUCCUGAUGGACGAAGGCGAUUUGUUGGUGAUGAACUUUGGAGGAUGCCGACAAGUGAAUUUAACACAGAUAAUCAGCAAGGCACAUGGAUGAGUGGAAGAAAUCCUUCACAUGCAGCCCCUUCUUUUGGGCAGGAAGGUUACUUUCGGCCGCCCCUUGAAAGGCCACCUGGUAAUAAUAUGGGCUUUCAGCCCAACAAUUUACCAGCUGGAGCUCCAAUACCAGGUCAUGGUGUUUCACACAUGUUGCCAUGUAGACCGGACAUGUCUGCCCUUAAUUGCUGGAGACCAGCAUAAGAACAAGUCAGAAGCUUACUUAAGUUCCACUUCUGGACAAGAUACAACUGGCAUUUGAAGGCUGUGUUUAGACCUUGUGGAAGCUCUUGGCAGGACUGUGUAUAUUGUAAUAUUUCCUGACAAAUGUAUCCCGGGAACACUUUCUUCCGAGUGUAGGCCCAUGUUUCUGACUUGGUUGGGGGAAAACAUAAGUCAAAAAUUGCUGUUAUUUGUGGUGUUCAUCAUGGUAAACACUUAAGAAUACGAUUCUCAGUCAGACAAGUUCUGCAAAAUGUUGAGGUAAAUAUUUGUCAUGGAUUUGCAAGCCAGACAACAUUCAUUAUUUUCCCCUUUUUUUUAUUUUUUUAUUUUUUAUAAGAUAGAAAUUAGCUUAUUUGCUAGAAGAUCUAAAGGAAAAGGUUCUACAAAAUGCUUCAAUUUUUUUCUGGAUAAAAAAAAGGGUUAUAACAAUGAGUUUUUAUCAAUUAUCAUGUCCUUGUUAAUGUCUUCAUUACUAUUAUUACAUUCUGCACAUACAAUUUAUAACAUUGAGAGUAUGAUUAUGGUCAACAUUUCUUGUAUAACAUUUUCACAGGUUCCGAUUUUCCAGAGUGUAAAUUUUAUCAUUGAUUGUAGUUAUCUUUGAAAUGUUUUCUCAAAAAGGUGUUUGUUGCUUAGAUUAGUUUACAAAAUUAUACUUUCCCAGCAAUUAAUUGGUUUGAAGGGAUGCAUGGUGUCAAUUGUUAAUAUGUGCAUGAAAAUGGGUUUGCUGGAUUUGAAAAAUAAAAUAAAAUAAAAUAGGUGCAAGUGAAAUGCUUAUUUGGGGUGUGUUUAAGAGCUUAAAGGAAAAACUGUUGGCCUCUAAAAGCUGUUUAUAGGUUCUUUUGUUAAUGCUCUGUUUGGUUGAGAGGAAAGAAAAUAGGAAGGAUUGGUAAGGAGGGAAGGAGGAUAGAAUGGAUGGAAUUUUAUCAAUGGUCCAAUGUGUAAUUACUAAUAUACCCUUAUUGAUUACAUAUUUUCUUUGUCCAUAUUUUAUUCAAACUAAAGAAUGGAAUUUUAAAAUUUACUAUUAAAAUAUAAUUUAUGUUCCACUUUCCUACACCAAUGAAAAACAAAAUUGUGGGCCCUAAUUGAUGGAAUGGAUGAUCUUCUUUCUUCCCUUCCAACCAAUAAGAGUGAGAAAGAAAAUCUGUGGACCUCUAAAACUAGAGAGGAAAUUACCAAAACGGUUGUAGGUGCUGCUGUCGCUGGUGGAUAUUUUGAAUGUUACAGCAGAUGAUAGCUGCAGUAGCAGAGCUGGUGGUGGUGGCGGCAUCAUUAUGCUAUUGUAGAGAUGAUCAAGAUUCAUUUUGACUUGUUUUUAUGAAAUAGAAAAGUUUAUUCCUAGAUUUUAUGAUUAUUAGAAAUAUUAACAUUGUCGAAGAUAAAAGAUUUGUGAUAGAGAUUCUCGGAAUUUUACUAAAAUUUUUGUUAGAUUUAGCUUGUAAUAUAGCUUAUGCAAUUAAAAUAAGUUAUAAUUUAAUAAUUUAGUACAUAAAAAUUUUGGCCAA